UUGAUAUCUUACAGAGAACAUAAAGUUCAGAACAAAGAUUAUGUCUUUUAGGUCAGGUCACUGUUUAAAACUCACAAUCAGUGUGACAUUUUUACAUAGCUUCUGUUUCUUUGUAAAGCACUGCCUCAUAAAGCUCAUUGUGAAGAAUGCCUACACCUGCGUUACACAACACCAUCUCAUGGAUGAACAAGGGUGGGUAAAGCAGGUCUACAUCCAGCGCACCCUUAUCUUCUGUAACAAAGCUGCUGAAGAGGAUUAUGCUGCUGUUGCCUCAGAAACUUAGUCACCAGUGGAAAGAGAGCACAGAGAGGGGUGGGGAGUCCACGCAGAGAGUAGAAACAGACAGGCAGGCGAUACUACUGCUACAACCCUUCACACACACACAGCACCAGCUUUUUCUUUCUUUCUUUCUUUUUUUUAGGCUGACACAGAUUUUUUCUAAAACCUGCCACCAUGUGGCACCCUUUGAUUAUCGGCAUCAUGACAGUGAACACCUCUCUAACCGUCUUCUACUGGGCCUUCAUCCUGGGCGAUGCUUACUACAAGUGGCUGAUGGAGCCAGAAGACAAGCCCAAGAAGGUGGUCACCCCAGCUUGAGGGAGCCAGUAUGGAUCUACCUGAAUGAGUGACUGGAUGUUAUUUGCUUAGGAAUACUCUGCUCAGCUAGUAGUGCUUACAGUGAAUUUCUGCUUCUUUUUUUAUGUAUUCUUUUUUUUUUUUUAACUGGAAAAGCCUUGGAUUCCUGUUUUGAACUGAAAAAAUAACCUAAAGCAAUCUGCAAGUUGAUGAGAAGAAUCAUUCUUACAGGUAAAGUGUCAAUUUAUCUUAAUAUUUAUUUCGCAUCAUUUUAUUGUGUUUUAGCUACAUUUGUUGCUUGCAGUGUGAAUCAACACACACAUACACACUUCACACACCAUCCGCAGGCAACAGGUCCUUCAGGUGACACUAAAUGAACCGUUUAAGCUUUCUGCUGACUCGGUGAAAAGGUUUUGUUGGUGACAGUGGCAUGAGUCAAGCAAAUCCUGUUAGGAUUACUAAACUACUAAACACCACCUCUAAACUGGCACAGUUGGUGUUACUUUCGUAACAGCUUCAUCCUGAGACACAUUCAGAAACCCUCGUCUCAUCUCUCGUUUGCAUCUCUCCUGAAAGCUUAUUUUUCACUCUUCCUCCUUUUCCUUUUUCUCUCUAUUUUAUUUUAUUUUUUACAUCUCUCCACAACAUGUCGCACGUCUUCUACUGGGGUAUGCACCCAGUCUCUUGGUUCAUUCUUUUCGCCAAUAUAGCCGUAACGGUCAUUGAAUGGAAGUUUCUUGCCUCUCAGUUUUACAAACUUAACUGGAAAAAGGAAGAACAACAAGCCAAUGCCUAAAAUCCUGGUGGAAACCACAUCCACAUCCUGAUGCUGCACUGAGAAUAUUUAGCUGCUUCUGUACAGUUCACCCCAGAAUUCAAAAACAAAAAACCAGAGGAAUCGUCUCAACUCUUUGCUGCAGAUGGAAAGCUGAUAUUGCUCUAUGACAGACUCAAUCCUAUUAACUCCGUCUGUCCUACAUUCACUUCUCCUCUGUCUCGCUCUCCUGGACCGAAGACCCUCUGUGCAAAAGAUGAGAAUGAGGAAUUCUGGGAUUCAAGUCUAGACCAAAGAUUAGAAGAAUUGGCACAUGGACUGGAUAUUUGGCCCCAAACCAGUGGAGGAUGAUUCAGAGGGAGGGGAUGCAGAAAUAGAGGAAGAGAGGCGACUCAGCGUUUCCAGCAAGCUGUUGGAGAAAGAUGAGAUCAGAAUGGAGGAAGAAAAAGAAGGCCAGCUGCCUGGUUUCCACCAGGGAGACGCAGGCCGCUGUCGUCCAUCCACCCCUCCGCUGAGAAGCGCCAUUGCUUCGUCAUACCCUGGAGAAAAAAGGAUUUCCACACAUAGCGUGACCUUCGCCUGCCCCGUGGCCCCUUACGUCACUUCCCUUUGAGUUUUUUCAUCACAGCAGUUUUUAUUACGUCUUAAUCACAGUGCAGUGAUCAGUGAUGUCCUCGCUGUAGUGAUGCAGAGGCUGAGGCACUCUUGUUUUAUGCUGGUGUUAUAGUUAGCGUGCAAAAAAUGUACAAGAAAAUGUUGUUAGUAAGCACGAUCCAUACUGUCAGUCUGUUUCUACUGCACCAUGCUGAAAUUCGCUGUCCAGCUGCUCGUGGUAAAAACUGUAAACAAAUUAAGUUUCAAGUAAAAAUAUCAGUUAUGUUAAUAACUUAACUUUACAUCUAAAAAUGUUCAUUGGAAACACACUGUGUCCAGUUCGUCCACAAGGCUAGACAGAAAGUGUUGUGAAAUUGCAAAAUCAAAAAGACUUGUCAUGUUACAUGUGCUUGUAAUGUGUUUCUAAAGAAAACGUACAUCACUUCUCCUGGUGUUGGACUAAGCUUCUCCCCAAUAAACAACUCGAUAAUACACGCUCGUUCCUCCUGUCUUGUCUGCUUUCAUUAAUCCAUCUUACCUUCUCCUAAUACCUGCUUGUGCCCAGGGUGAUGACC
ensembl:lncRNA